rnacentral:rRNA from 1 species
GAGCUUCUCGUAUGCAGUUUUCCGGCUGAAAGGAGAGUAACACGUGGAUAACCUACCUAUAAGACUGGGAUAACUUCGGGAAACCGGAGCUAAUACCGGAUAAUAUAUUGAACCGCAUGGUUCAAUAGUGAAAGACGGUUUUGCUGUCACUUAUAGAUGGAUCCGCGCCGCAUUAGCUAGUUGGUAAGGUAACGGCUUACCAAGGCAACGAUGCGUAGCCGACCUGAGAGGGUGAUCGGCCACACUGGAACUGAGACACGGUCCAGACUCCUACGGGAGGCAGCAGUAGGGAAUCUUCCGCAAUGGGCGAAAGCCUGACGGAGCAACGCCGCGUGAGUGAUGAAGGUCUUCGGAUCGUAAAACUCUGUGACUAGGGCAGAACAAUUGACACAGUACCACU